rnacentral:rRNA from 1 species
AGGACGAACGCUGGCGGCGUGCUUAACACAUGCAAGUCGAGCGGUAAGGCCCUUCGGGGUACACGAGCGGCGAACGGGUGAGUAACACGUGAGCAAUCUGCCCUCCACAUCGGGAUAACCCCCGGAAACGGGAGCUAAUACCUGAUACGACCACUUCAGGCAUCUGAUGGUGGUGGAAAGUUCCGGCGGUGGAGGAUGAGCUCGCGGCCUAUCAGCUUGUUGGUGAGGUAACGGCUUACCAAGGCUUGGACGGGUAGCUGGUCUGAGAGGACGAUCAGCCACACUGGGACUGAGACACGGCCCAGACUCCUACGGGAGGCAGCAGUAAGGAAUAUUGCGCAAUGGGCGAAAGCCUGACGCAGCAACGCCGCGUGCGGGAUGAAGGCCCUCGGGUUGUAAACCGCUUUCAGUAGGGAAGAAAAUGACGGUACCUACAGAAGAAGCCCCGGCAACUACGUGCCAGCAGCCGC